rnacentral:lncRNA from 1 species
AUUCCAUUAGCUUCCUUUGGAUGAUGAUUCCAUUCGAGUCCAUUCGAUGAUGAUCACAUUGGAUUUCAUUCCAUAAUUCUACUCGAUUCCAUUUGAUGAUGAUUCCAUCUGAUUCCAUUUGAUGAUUCCAUUUGAUUCCAUUAGAUGAUGAUUCCAUUCGUUUCCAUCCGAUGAUGAUUCCAUUUGAUUCCGUUCAAUGAUUAUUCCAUUUGAGUCCAUUCGAUGAUUCCAUUCGAUUCCAUUUGAUGAUGAUUGCAUUCGAGUCCAUGGAUUAUUCCAUUCCAUUCCAUUAGAUGAUGAUUGCAUUCGAGUCCAUGGAUUAUUCCAUUCCAUUCCAUUAGAUGAUUCCAUUCGAGUCC